rnacentral:lncRNA from 1 species
CAAUUUCCCAGACCUCUGAAAUGACAAGUCUGUUGAUCUGGGGUGGGAGCCCAAGCAUCUGUUGCUUUUUCUGUUAGAUUUUUAACAAACUUCCCCAACACUUCUGAUGCCUGUUUCCUGAAAAUCAGACUUAGAUGCUGCCCUAAAGCAGAAAGCUAGAGAAUGAAAUGCAUCUAUUGGAAAUGCAAAUUUAAAAUGGUAAAACGUAGAUUAAAAUUAUUUCACAUCCCUUAGUCCUUCCUUUAUGUAAUAAGUGCCUAAGUAAAUUCACUGUGUUCUAUGAUAUGCAGAAUGUUUCACAGAAACUGCAUAAAGCCAAGCACACCUACGCAAUCAAGCUAGAAGUGCAGAAGACAAAUGGGACAGCUUGUCUGUUCUCAGUUCACAGCAGUGGCCAUGACAGCCCUUCCCGAACACAAUGUGUACAUGAUGGGAAAUAUAAUUAAUGAUCUCGCCAGGAGUUUGGAAGAAGCCAGCAGGCAAUGUAAACAUUUGGUAACAUCCUUCCCACUGCCAAGAUGGAUUAAUGCUGGGAGAUCUUACAACUGGGUGACGUCAUAGGUGCGCAGAGAUAAAACAGGCUCCCCUCUGAAGGCUCCGGCGCAGAGCGGGGUCCUGAGCCCCAGAGGCGGUCCCGGGACCCCGCCCCGCCCCGACGGUGGUAGCCAACUCCGCCCUGCGGCCCGGAGGAGCGC